rnacentral:lncRNA from 1 species
CUGCACGAUGUGAGUAAAAUGAUAAAUAAAUGUUUUCUAAAAUUACGCUACGGUAUCGUGCACAAUGUUGGUAAAACGAUAAAUAAAUGUUUUCUACAACGAUUCUUGCACCACUAGAUUUUUUGUUUGUUGAUUAUCAAAAUUAAUUUUGACACUAGCCAUGUUUCCUGGAUUGAGAGGAAGGUCUCACCUUACUAAAAGAACAAUUAUCUUUCCCAUGCCCUUGUUGUUGUGGAUCUUUGGAAGUUAUGAGCAUGCACGACUUUAGCUAUUUGCUCACGUACUAUCACUGGUUCCAGUUUUCCACCGUCAUUAAUGGGCUUUGCUCAUUCAAAAGGUGAUCUGGAAUUGAUUCUGUCCAUAUCUCCACUCAAGCUUUCUCCUUUUUGCAUAUUAAUUGUUGUGUAAUUCCUUUUCUGAUUGGCUUUUCCCUUACCCAAUUUUUUUCAUGGUUCGUACAACAGCUAUCGUGCCACGAGAACUUUUGUUUGCUAAUUCUCAAAAUUAAUUUUGCCACUCGCCAUGCAUGUUUCCUAGGUUAUGGCUAGGGCUUACAUGAACAACUAUUUAGGUAGCCUUCGGCCAGCUUGCCAUGUUACCCACUUGGAUUAUCCUGCACGGGUUCUUCAACCACCU